UACGUUGGGAGCAAGCGUUGUCCGGAAUCAUUGGGCGUAAAGCGCGCGUAGGUGGCUUCGUAAGUCCGUUGUGAAAGUCAAAGGCUCAACCUUUGAAUGCCGAUGGAUACUGCGGAGCUAGAGUACGGAAGAGGCGAGUGGAAUUCCUGGUGUAGCGGUGGAAUGCGCAGAUAUCAGGAGGAACACCAAUAGCGAAGGCAGCUCGCUGGGACGUUACUGACACUAAGGCGCGAAAGCGUGGGGAGCGAACAGG
rnacentral:rRNA from 1 species